rnacentral:lncRNA from 1 species
GAGAAUGGCGUCGGUUGAGGGUAUCUGUCGUACUCCUGCUUUCUUCUCGGGCUUGCUCGGGCAAGCCUUCGUCGGGCAGAUCUUGGUCGGGCAAGACACACUUCGGGCAAGGCUCGUCGGGCAGUUCUGAAAGAGAAGGACAGAGUUAAUUUGAAAGGGUGCCUUUGUGGGGCCUUAGGUGUAGGCCUUGAGGCUCACAAUCAAGAUUAACUUUGUCGUGCUCAGGCGUGCCACUGCCAUCUUCAGUAUGGCAGAUGUUGAAUGGGUGUUUAAGCUUUGAUUGAAUAUGUAUACGCCCGAGAAACCGAGUUAGAUAUAACAGGUGCCUUUGUGAGACCUUAGGUAUAGGCCUUGAGGCUUCCUGUCAAACUAAACCAGCGCUUGGAUGUAUCAUAUUUGGCCUUUUAUGGUUGCCAGAGUUUUAUCACUAUUAUACCUUUGAUUAUCUGAAUCCAAGAGGUAGGACGAACCCAAAUGAGUGCCUUUGUAGGGCCUUAGGUAUAGGCCUUGAGGCUUCCCAUCAGAGUUAAUCCUUAUACUCGGACCAACUAGACCGCAACAUAAAAUGAAGCUAAAUAGAUGCCUUCGUGGGGCCUUAGGUGUAGGCCUUGAGGCUUUCUAUCAGAAUUCACUCUAUGCUUAAGCCUUUUCUACGAAUCAAGAUAUAAUAGCAACAAAACGGAGAAAUAGAUUGAUUACUUGCGCCCCAAGUAACUUCGGACUUCUCGCUUAUCAAGGAUCGUCGUGGAUGGGUUGAGUCCACAUAGAGUUCUUUUUUAUGCCUUGAGGCCAAGGACUUUUAAACUGAUUUUUAAAUUACAUGCCCGCGGGCUUAAGCCUCAGAUCUGAUCUAAACUCUGACGUGAUUCAGAUCAGAUUCAAGUGCUGAAGACUCAUUUUCAUUGUGAUUUUGCCAGAAAUAACUUGUAUAUAACUGAGAAUAUUUAACAUGUUAUUGUGCUUUUAAAAGAAAGAAAAGACAAAGACAGAGCAAAGAUAGUCGGGUAAGUUUGAACCUUAUCGGCCAAGGCUGAACUUCUUACAAAAUCUAUCUUUGUGGCUCUAUCAGAGGUCUGAAAGCUUUCAGAAGGGGUUGAUGGGGAGAAUAGGAUACAAAAUGAAUCGAUACCACCAAGAACAAGGUAGCAGAGCUAUUACAGGGGUUUGGGAAGGUUUAUCCCGAACGGGAUGAAGGCUUGUGCUGACUACAGCUUUGUUGAAGGCAAAUCUGGCUUGAGCAGAGUUUUGGCUUUUGUUUGUUUGUUUGAGUGUCCCUAAUUCUGUCUUCUCUUCCUCCUUUUAUAGACGGAUUCAGCUUGGGUUCCUGUAGCAAUGGCGGUUGCCCGAAUGCGGUUUGGUGAUGACUCACUAGCUUUUUUACAUGAAUGCCACCAAUAAAGUACUUUAUUGGGCUGUGCAGUGAUUGAAUAACCUACCCCCUGUGGUCUUUGAGCAGGUAAGCAGGUGGCCUUUGUAAUUUGUGCCCAGCCGAAAGCCUCUUUCCUGCCUCCUAAGUUUUCCUCUGGGCCUUGGGUUUGGGCCGACUUUCUCUCUGGCCCAAAGUUCAGAUUUUAUCCCAAACAGUGCCCCCUUCAAUUGAUGUUAAGGUUGGGAUCCCAAGCGCCAACAUUAAUUGAACAACAGCAUGCGUGCCUUUUGAGCUUCCUGCGACCUUUAAACUACCUUCUGGUUCUCUAUAAAUUCUGGCUUUGGAAACCCUUUUCAAAUCAUCACCUCUUCUUCAUUUUGGUCUUUAC